GUUUGAUCCUGGCUCAGGAUGAACGCUGGCGGCGUGCCUAAUACAUGCAAGUCGAACGGGAAGCUUUGAUUCGUCGAAGUGGAGAGUGGCGCACGGGUGAGUAACACAUGGCUGACCUGCCCUUCAGAGGAGGACAACCGGUGGAAACGCCGGCUAAUACUCCAUACGCUCGCGGGAAUUAGAACCCCGUGAGGAAAAGCUCCGGCGCUGAAGGAGGGGGCUGUGGCCCAUCAGCUAGUUGGUAAGGUAAUGGCUUACCAAGGCGAGGACGGGUAGGGGACCUGAGAGGGUGACCCCCCACACGGGUACUGAGACACGGACCCGACUCCUACGGGAGGCAGCAGUAAGGGAUAUUGCGCAAUGGACGAAAGUCUGACGCAGCAACGCCGCGUGCGGGAUGACGGCCUUCGGGUUGUAAACCGCUUUUCUGUGUGAAGAGGAAGGACGGUAGCACAGGAAUAAGUCUCGGCUAACUACGUGCCAGCAGCCGCGGUAAAACGUAGGAGGCGAGCGUUAUCCGGAUUUACUGGGUGUAAAGCGCGUGCAGGCGGCUUCGUAAGUUGUGCGUGAAAGCGCUCUGGCUCAACCGGGCGAGGACGUGCAAAACUGCGGAGCUAGAGAUAGGUAGAGGUAUGUGGAAUUCCGGGUGUAGUGGUGAAAUGCGUAGAGAUCCGGAGGAACACCAGUGGCGAAGGCGACAUACUGGACCUUAUCUGACGCUAAGACGCGAAAGCAUGGGUAGCGAACGGGAUUAGAAACCCCGGUAGUCCAUGCCGUAAACGAUGUGUACUAAGUGUUGGGGCCUAGAAACCCCAGUGCUGAAGCUAACGUGAUAAGUACACCACCUGGGGAGUACGGUCGCAAGAUUAAAACUCAAAGGAAUUGACGGGGACCCGCACAA
rnacentral:rRNA from 1 species